rnacentral:rRNA from 1 species
CGUACGAGUUCUCGUUGAUGAUCGGUGCUUGCACCAAGAUUGAACAUGCAACGAGUGGCGGACGGGUGAGUAACACGUGGGUAACCUGCCCUUAAGUGGGGGAUAACAUUUGGAAACAGAUGCUAAUACCGCAUAGAUCCAAGAACCGCAUGGUUCUUGGCUGAAAGAUGGCGUAAGCUAUCGCUUUUGGAUGGACCCGCGGCGUAUUAGCUAGUUGGUGAGGUAAUGGCUCACCAAGGCGAUGAUACGUAGCCGAACUGAGAGGUUGAUCGGCCACAUUGGGACUGAGACACGGCCCAAACUCCUACGGGAGGCAGCAGUAGGGAAUCUUCCACAAUGGACGCAAGUCUGAUGGAGCAACGCCGCGUGAGUGAAGAAGGCUUUCGGGUCGUAAAACUCUGUUGUUGGAGAAGAAUGGUCGGCAGAGUAACUGUUGUCGGCGUGACGGUAUCCAACCAGAAAGCCACGGCUAACUACGUGCCAGCAGCCGCGGUAAUACGUAGGUGGCAAGCGUUAUCCGGAUUUAUUGGGCGUAAAGCGAGCGCAGGCGGUUUUUUAAGUCUGAUGUGAAAGCCCUCGGCUUAACCGAGGAAGCGCAUCGGAAACUGGGAAACUUGAGUGCAGAAGAGGACAGUGGAACUCCAUGUGUAGCGGUGAAAUGCGUAGAUAUAUGGAAGAACACCAGUGGCGAAGGCGGCUGUCUGGUCUGUAACUGACGCUGAGGCUCGAAAGCAUGGGUAGCGAACAGGAUUAGAUACCCUGGUAGUCCAUGCCGUAAACGAUGAAUGCUAGGUGUUGGA